rnacentral:tRNA from 1 species
AAUGAUUUGCCUGAUAAUAGGAUUACCUUGAUAGGGUAAAUCAUAAGAUAAAUUUCUUAUUCAUUA